rnacentral:rRNA from 1 species
AUUGAACGCUGGCGGCAGGCCUAACACAUGCAAGUCGAACGAGUGGCGGACGGGUGUGUAAUGUCUGGGAAAUUGCUUUAUGGAGGGGGAUAACUACUGGAAACGGUAGUUAAUCCCGCAUACCAUCCGAUGUUCCCAGAGGGGAUUAGCUAGUUGGUAGGGUAACGGCUCACCAAGGCGACGAUCCAUAGCUGUGCUGAGAGGAUGACCAGCCACACUGGAACUGAGACACGGUCCAGACUCCUACGGGAGGCAGCAGUGGGGAAUAGUGCACAAUGGGCGCAAGCCUGAUGCAGCCAUGCCGCGUGUGUGAUGAAGGCCUUCGGGUUGUAAAGUACUUUCAGCGGGGAGGCGGUACCCGCAGAAGAAGCACCGGCUAACUCCGUGCCAGCAGCCGCGGUAAUAC